CUGUCAAAAGUGAAACAUCUUACAAGAUGUUUUCUGUCAUGCAAAGUGUCAAUAUUUCAUUGCUGAAUACAAAUUAGACAUCAAAUGAAAAUCACAGACCAAAAAAUCACCAUAAAAGUUAUUCAUUUAUAGCCACCAUUAAUUUUCAUUGGGUAUCUCCUAUUCACAAAUAAAAUGUUACUGAAAAGUGUCCUUUUAUGAAAUCAUGUAACUGCUAACUCCAUUAUCUACAGGAAAACCACAACCCAUCUUCUGAGUUGAAUUUGGAGAACUUCACAUGUACUACGUUGAGUCUGUUUACUGCCAGCACAGAGACGGUCCCCAUCACACUGAAACACAUGGAGCUGAAGGUCCCACAGGGUCCGUGCCAAGGUGGUGCCCAAACACAGGGACAUGAGGACAUGAACAAAGAAGGUUUGCUGUAGCAGAGGAACUGAAAUUGACAAGAUGAACCAGGAUGAGUCUCCUGGCAGUGGAUAUAAGGUCGUGCCCUAAAGAGAUAAUAAGACUCUGGCAGAACGACAUUGGCAAAUGUUACAGGAAAAGAGGAAAGUUUACCCAAAGAUAUUAUGGAAAUCUCCAAAAGAAGGACAAUGGAAAGACCCAGUGGAUUUCCUGAUGUGGGGACGAGAGUGUGCUUGUGUUUUGCAGAUCAAGAAAACCACACAGGAAGCUGAGAAACUGCUGUAGUGUCAGAGUCAGGUAAAACCCCCUGAUCCCAUGUUUAUGGCCAUGCUAGCUGUAAUAUCCUGUGCAGUAUGUUUUCCCUGUGUAGAGGCAAAAACAUAUUGGGCAUAUGUUCCUAACCCCCUGG